rnacentral:rRNA from 1 species
AGAGUUUGAUCCUGGCUCAGGACGAACGCUGGCGGCGCGCCUAACACAUGCAAGUCGAACGGAGUUGAGAGGAGCUUGCUUUUCUUGACUUAGUGGCGAACGGGUGAGUAACGCGUGAGUAACCUGCCCUUGAGUGGGGGACAACAGUUGGAAACGACUGCUAAUACCGCAUAAGACCACAGAGCCGCAUGGCUCAGAGGUAAAAGGAUUUAUUCGCUCAAGGAUGGACUCGCGUCCAAUUAGCUAGUUGGUGAGGUAACGGCCCACCAAGGCGACGAUUGGUAGCCGG